AACGUAGGUGGCGAGCGUUAUCCGGAUUUACUGGGCGUAAAGCGUGUGCAGGCGGCCUUACAAGUGGUGUAUGAAAUAUCCAGGCUCAACCUGGAGGGGUUAUGCCAGACUGUGAGGCUAGAGUGCGAGAGAGGGGCGUGGAAUUCCGGGUGUAGUGGUGAAAUGCGCAGAUAUCAGGAAGAACACCAAUGGCGAAGGCAGCUCUCUGGGACGGUACUGACGCUGAGACGCGAAAGCGUGGGGAGCGAACAGG
rnacentral:rRNA from 1 species